AGAGGGAUAGCUGGGUCAGAUGGUGGUUCCAUUCCCAGUGUUCCAAGGAAUCUCCAUACUGCUUUCCAGAUUGGCUGCACCAAUUUGCAGUCCCACCAGCAAU
rnacentral:pre_miRNA from 1 species